UACGUAGGGGGCAAGCGUUGUUCGGAUUCACUGGGCGUAAAGGGUGCGUAGGUGGCAUGGCAAGUUUGAUGUGAAAGCUCAGGGCUUAACCCUGAAAUGGCAUUGAAUACUGCUGUGCUGGAGGUUUGGAGGGGGGACUGGAAUUCUCGGUGUAGCAGUGAAAUGCGUAGAUAUCGAGAGGAACACCAGUGGCGAAGGCGGGUCCCUGGACAACACCUGACACUGAGGCACGAAAGCCGGGGGAGCAAACAGG
rnacentral:rRNA from 1 species